rnacentral:rRNA from 1 species
UUCCUACGGGUGGCUGCAGUGGGGAAUAUUGGACAAUGGGGGAAACCCUGAUCCAGCAAUGCCGCGUGUGUGAAGAAGGCCUGCGGGUUGUAAAGCACUUUUGGCAGGGAUGAAAAGCACUGGCCUAACAAUCCAGUGUGUUGACCUAACCUGCAGAAGAAGCACCGGCUAACUCUGUGCCAGCAGCCGCGGUAAUACAGAGGGUGCAAGCGUUAAUCGGAAUUACUGGGCGUAAAGCGCGCGUAGGCCGUUGGGUAAGUCGGAUGUGAAAUCCCCGGGCUUAACCUGGGAAUUGCAUUCGAUACUGCCUGACUAGAGUGUGGAAGAGGGAAGCGGAAUUUCCGGUGUAGCGGUGAAAUGCGUAGAUAUCGGAAGGAACACCAGUGGCGAAGGCGGCUUCCUGGUCCAACACUGACGCUGAGGCGCGAAAGCGUGGGGAGCGAACAGGAUUAGAUACCCUUGUAGUCCA